CUGGGAGUGAAUAUGUUACAUACCUAUGGUAGGGAGUGAAUAUGUUACAUACCUAUGGUAGGGAGUGAAUAUGUUACAUACCUAUGGUAGGGAGUGAAUAUGUUACAUACCUAUGGUAGGGAGUGAAUAUGUUACAUACCUAUGGUAGGGAGUGAAUAUGUUACAUACCUAUGGUAGGGUAGUGAAUAUGUUACAUACCUAUGGUAGGUAAGUGAAUAUGUUACAUACCUAUGGUAGGUAAGUGAAUAUGUUACAUACCUAUGGUAGGUAAGUGAAUAUCUUGCAUACCUAUGGCUGGGAGUGAAUAUGUUGCAUACCUAUGUUAGGUAAGUGAAUAUGUUACAUACAUAUGGUAGGGAGUGAAUAUGUUACAUACGUAUGGUAGGUAAGUGAAUAUAUUACAUACCUAUGGUAGGGAGUGAAUAUGUUACAUACCUAUGGUAGGGUGUGAAUAUGUCACAUACCUAUGGUAGGGUGUGAAUAUGUUACAUACCUAUGGCAGGGAGUGAAUAUGUUACAUACCUAUGGUAGGGAGUGACUAUGUUACAUAUCUAUGGUAGGGUGUGAAUAUGUCACAUACCUAUGGCAGGGAGUGAAUAUGUUACAUACCUAUGGUAGGUAAGUGAAUAUGUUACAUACCUAUGGUAGGGAGUGAAUAUGUUACAUACCUAUGGUAGGUAAGUUAAUAUGUUACAUACCUAUAAGGUAGGCUGUAUGUUUGUCACAUCUAUAGGAGGAUGGAUAUGUUACCUAUAGUAUUUGUCACCUGUGUAUUGGUGAAUAUACUUGGGUACAUUAUUUCCCACACUGCCUGUGGCCAGAUAGGGGGCAUCUUCUCUAGCACUAGUCCACUAGCAGACCUUUUAUAAUUAACGUAUUAUAUCAAAAGUGAGAAUUACUACCGUAGUGAUUUUGUGAUGUUGGUAGACUUUCAGUGUGAAUUAUUAUAGAUUGUAAAAGGUGAUAAAGGAAUCCAUCGCCACACAAUAGGUGGUGUAUCCAGGUAAAACAAUGGAGGAGUACAGGAACACUGUACCUGUUUACCAAUCAAGAGGAGCGAUAGGGUUAUCUGCCCUUACUCAGCAUCAGAGAUACAACAGACUCGUGAGUUAUCUCGGCUUCUGCUAAGCAAAUGACUUUACUUUGUUCCUGCAGCAGAGCACUAGAUGGAGAUUGGGUUAUCCGCCCUUUUCACUUGUUUGUCAUACAUUUUAUCGUACACUUCAUACAUCUUAGCAAUCUGGGAGGAUCUGUGGCCGCAGAAACAAACCGCACGUAUGCACCAAAGUGAGUAAUGCACACACGCGACGGAGCAAGGUCAUUGGAGGUUUAUCUCAGGAACACAGUCAUUUUUUGUCACGUUACUAUAUAUAGCACAGUUUUUGUUGCCUUUGGCAGUCAGUGCAUGUAGAUCUGUAUUUAGGACUUGUCCAGGGACCAGCGACAACACCUUUAGUAGAGUUUACCAGGAGAAUGAGAGCAUUUGACACUAUAUGUUGUGUAAAUGUGCGGGCAGUGGAAGUAGUGUAGGAAGAAUCAGUCUGAAUGUGGUGUAUGAGGAUUGUUAGUUUGAGAGUGUGUGGAGGGGUAUUUCCAGGAAUACUAGGGAGGGUACGUGUGUAGAUAAGAUAGGAUGUUAUAAAUGUCCAUGUGAUAAAUGUCGGUGUUGAACUACUGGUUCAUAUACUAGCGAAGUAUGUCUUAAACCAUUAAAUAGUAAUUUCCAGAAGAAAUCAAAAUUUGAAAAAGCCAAGUGUACUUGGGCUUCGUUAAGUGCUGAUGCCAGAAAUGAAACAGAAUUGUUAUGGUGUCAGUCACACCUAUUUCACAGUAAAGAAAGUGGUCCAGUUUGGGUACUACAUUAACACUACAGUUAACCUGCUAGUAUGAACCAGUAGAUCUACAUACAAAACCAAACUGCAUUUAUGUGAGGAGUGGGACUGUGUACUUGUAGAUAUGUUAGAGGCGGUAGUACGUCUGAACUAUGAUAUAUGUGAUCUUGUUUAAUGAUAUUUUAUUUCAUUUAUUUAAAACUGCAAUAUAAUCAUGAUAUCAUUCAUUAAGUUUUGUCCCUCCUCAGAUACUUAAAUAUUUACUGAGAGUACUAUGUUAAAUAUUAUAGUAAUCUAGUGACAAGUCCCUGUGAGGGCAGUGUACCAUGUUUUAAAGGUGUUUAUUUAGAUGACAAGCCCCUGUGACAGAUAUGUCGUGGACCUGUGUUAAGUAUGUUAUCAUAGGGCAGGUGUCUCCUAAGUAAAAUGAUGUGUAUCCAUUGUAAGAGAGACAUUCAGUAGUAUUUAGGAUAUUUACUUCCCUGGAAAGUUUUCUGUGAAAGGAUAUCCAUAUUAUAAUGAAAAACAUGUUUGUCAACUUAAAACCAGUGACUUAUAACUGUAUGAAUUGUAUGAUAUAUAUCUUUUAAUGAGUUUAUGAACUUUAUUUUACAAUUUGUAUGAAAUAAGUUAUUAACCUAUACUAAUCAUUGGGUCUUAUUUGGGAGUACAUGGAGUAAACCGAUAUGGUUCAACGGGUAGUAAAACAGCAUCUAGGUGAAAGUGUAUAACCAUCUAGAUUGAUUCCAAAGAUGAUUUUAUAUUUAGAUUCCAAAGACAGACCUGAAGAUUGAUAUACAUGUUUAUAUGUAAAUUUACAAAUGGAUAUAUACAUGUAUAGACAGAACAUAAUUUUACAAUACAUUUGACUUGCACACAAUUCUCACUAAAAUGAUAGUUAUUGGUAUCAGCUCAAGCAGGUUCCAAUUGAUUAUUUUUAAAAUGGGUAGAAAAGAGAUAGAGGAAAGGGGAUAUAUGAGAUGGCCGAGUAAGAAGGUUUCACUACCAAGGACUAGCCUUGAUUCACAAUUUAGUCAUCUUAAUCUUAGAACAUGUGAUAUUCCGUAAGUCGUGAAUCAGUAUCGUAGUCUUUGCAUAGAAAAUCUUCUCUUUUUUUGUUAUGUACUAUUAUAAAUUGUUCCCCUCAAACUUUGAUCGCCAGCUACUUAAUGUAUGACCAAGUUCUCAACAUAUUAAGUCGUUAAGGCACACAUAUUGGUACUGUGUUUAUACAUCUCCAGUCUGUUAUGAGCUAUUAGAAAUAACAAUGCUUCCCAUCAAUCAGCAAAACUGCUGGAGAACUGCCAACCAGUUUUGGGGCUAACUUUAUAUGGGAGCUAGCCCCACAUUCAUAAAUUUUCCCUAACUUAAAGCUUCUCAUAGAAAGUAUUUAGAGUUUAAAGAGAGUUCCUUAACUAAAAUUUUCCAUUAAAUCUUCUGUUUUCCUGUGAAUAGGGAAAUUUAAUGAAACCAGGGCCAUGUCAUUUUACUAGCAAAUGUGUUCAUUCUCUCCAGUACUUGGAUGGUCGCAAUAUUGGUUAUGUCACAGCGUUAAAUCUAUAUGAAGCAAAUACAGGUAUUAUUAGUAAAUAAAUAUAUUCAUGUAUUCACUCAUCCUAAGUUCAUAUUGUGGAAUCCAUUUCAUCUCCAAGAAAGAACAAAUUAUAUGAUACAUUAAAGAAAUAACUGUUAUGUGAUCAAAAUUUUCUGCUUUGUUUGAAAUCAUUAAUACAUAGUGUAUAGUAGAAUUCAUGUGCAGUUGACCAAGCAGUUCUUCUGUAAAAAGUUAGUGACAAGAAAAGGUUCUGUACCUGACAUUAUUUUAAGGCACACUUAAAUCUUAUUUACUUAAAAUUGUUGUGGAAAAAUAUGUUUAAUUACAGAAAAAAAGUUUUAAUUUGUUCUGCUUGCCAACGCUUUAACUGGCGUUUAACAUAAAUACAAAAGGGUUAAAUCAAAACAUGCAUUUAUAAGAUCUGACAAGCCGUGUUAUAUUGUAUAAGACAUGCCUGUGUAGUUCACGAGUUUACUGUCAGCGUUAUUUCAUAGUGAUGAAGUUUUAGGAAUGAAGGUCGCUGUAGAGGUUGUGUCUGAGAGUGAUGUCUUUUUGUUUUGUUUACUAGGACGGUGCUGUGUACCAUUGUGUACUUAGAUGAAUUACGUUCCAUAUUUUUAUUUACUACGUAAUGUUUAAUACUCGGUUUAUUAUAUUAAGUUGUUGGACUAGUGUUUUUGUUACCAGCGUUUGUGGUCCCUGGAUGUAGUACCAAUCAGCUGGUGAAAUUCUAGAUGUAACUGGACAAAUGUCCAGUAUGUUCGUGGUGGGUCUGUGAGCGUGAUAUCUACAGUAAACAUUUUGUAUGUACGCUUCAUCUGUGUCCAUAUUUAUUAUUUCUUAACAAUGUAAUAACAUGUGAUAUUUGAUACCAACAGGUUCUGUAUGGCAUCGCACAAAUAUGCAAAUACAGCGUCUCGGCUCCAUCUUGUAUUCAUUGGUUUUGUAUUUACUGCGAUGAUAGAAUAAAUGAUUGAUGAAA